CGCCGCGGUGAAUACGUUCCCGGGUCCUGUACACACCGCCCGUCAAGCCAUGGAAGUCGGUUCUGCCUUAAGCCCCCCUCAAAAGGGUCCACGGCAGGGUCGGUGACUGGGGCU
rnacentral:rRNA from 1 species